GGGGGCGGUCGCGCCCGGGAGCCGAACCUCCCGGGUGAGGAAAGUCCGGGCACCAUAGGGCAGGGUGCCAGCUAACAGCUGGGCGGGGUAACCCGACGGAAAGUGCCACAGAGAAAAGACCGCCAGCGGCCAGGCCAAGGCCUGGUGCGGGCAAGGGUGAAACGGUGGGGUAAGAGCCCACCGCGCCUCCUGGAAACAGGGGCGGCACGGCAAACCCCACCCGGUGCAAGGCCCAGUAGAGGGGAAGGGCUUGCCCGGCCCGCCACAACCCCUGGUGUCAUGCGUCACGCUUUUAUGCCCGUUUCGGUCAAGCUCUAGGUCAAUUAGACCAAGUGCAAUCACAUUUCCAGGUUAGGAAGUUGAUAUGUUAUGCAUUACUUAGGUGAGUGUUGCAGUGUAAAGCAAAGGCCCCCGCCCACCCCCUUUG
rnacentral:RNase_P_RNA from 1 species